rnacentral:rRNA from 1 species
ACUCCUACGGGAGGCAGCAGUAGGGGAAUCUUCCACAAUGGGCGCAAGCCUGAUGGAGCAACACCGCGUGAGUGAAGAAGGGUCUCGGCUCGUAAAGCUCUGUUGUUAAAGAAGAACACGUAUGAGAGUAACUGUUCAUACGUUGACGGUAUUUAACCAGAAAGUCACGGCUAACUACGUGCCAGCAGCCGCGGUAAUACGUAGGUGGCAAGCGUUAUCCGGAUUUAUUGGGCGUAAAGAGAGUGCAGGCGGUUUUCUAAGUCUGAUGUGAAAGCCUUCGGCUUAACCGGAGAAGUGCAUCGGAAACUGGAUAACUUGAGUGCAGAAGAGGGUAGUGGAACUCCAUGUGUAGCGGUGGAAUGCGUAGAUAUAUGGAAGAACACCAGUGGCGAAGGCGGCUACCUGGUCUGCAACUGACGCUGAGACUCGAAAGCAU